rnacentral:rRNA from 1 species
UGGGGAAUAUUGAACAAGGGGCGCAAGCCUGAUGCAGCCAGGCCGCGGGUGGGAAGAAGGACGGCGGGGGGGAAAGAACGGGCAGAGGGGAGGAAGGAGGUAAGGGGAAGAACAGGGGCGAGGGAGGGUACCCGCAGAAGAAGCAAAGGCGAACGCCGUGCCAGCAGCCGCGGUAAUACGGAGGGUGCAAGCGUUAAUCGGAAUUACUGGGCGUAAAGCGCACGCAGGCGGUCUGUCAAGUCGGAUGUGAAAUCCCCGGGCUCAACCUGGGAACUGCAUUCGAAACUGGCAGGCUAGAGUCUUGUAGAGUGGGGUAGAAUUCCAGGUGUAGCGGUGAAAUGCGUAGAGAUCUGGAGGAAUACCGGUGGCGAAGGCGGCCCCCUGGACAAAGACUGACGCUCAGGUGCGAAAGCGUGGGGAGCAAACAGG